AUCCACCUUCUGGAAGGCCUGCAACAAGUAGAACACCUGAGAGUGUUGAAUAUGUACGGGCUGCAAUCAACAAAGAUUGGGGACUGACAGUGUGAGAACUAGAACCUGAUCUGGGGAUUCCAAAAGCUACUGUGGAUUGCAAAAACUAC